GCCCCCAUCGUCUAGUGGCCCAGGACAUCUCUCUUUCAAGGAGGCGACGGGGAUUCGAAUUCCCCUGGGGGUA
rnacentral:tRNA from 15 species